CAUGACAGAACGCAACUGCUGCGCCUCGAACUCCAGCUGCUGCCGAAUGAGGUCCAUCUGUAUGGAGAACUAUGACAAUAAGGAAGAGGAGAGGUCUUCCAGAUGCUGGGCCGUGAUACGUCCGUCUCCCAGCAUGGCUUUGGCCAGGGCUCCAUCCAUGAGGUGGGUGUGUCCAGGAUGCAUGGCCGUGCCCUCCCCUGACAGAGAGGAGCUCUGGCGGGAUGAAGGCCGUAGGGGGCUCCUGGCUCUGGAGGAGGAGGGAGGCAAGCAGGCCAGACGAUCGUCCAUGUCACUCGACUGAGCUGCCAGACUGGCUAGACUGUCUGGCAGGACGCGCAGAUUGUGCGGCUGGUACUUCAGCUCAUAGUAGUUGGUCAGGUCCAUGUGCAACUCUGAGAGAGAAAGAGAGAGAGAUUUUUUAUUUUUAUGAACCAUUGAAAUGUCCUAUUAUUGAAUGAGCUGUGUACAAUAUCAGUUUAAUGCAAGACAGACAUUAAAAUGGGAGAAAAUAGAUGGAAAACUACAUCAGAUGUACCUUUGAGCUGAUCCAGCACAUCAGUCCUCCCUGAGGAGGCCAAAGUGCCAGCCUCCAGCUCCAGUUUAUUCUGCAGGCCCUUCAAUACCCCCUAGAGUGAAGAAAGCAAAUCAUAAUUACUGUGUCAACUUCAAAUUGCUGUUGUGGCCACAGUAAAACACCCAAAAAAGAGUCACAACCUGCUGGGUCUCUGAUGACCUAGAGGUGAAAUAAACCAAGCAAUGAAAACACUG